AGAGUUUGAUCCUGGCUCAGAACGAACGCUGGCGGCAGGCCUAACACAUGCAAGUCGAACGAUGCCUUCGGGCAUAGUGGCGCACGGGUGAGUAACACGUGGGAACAUACCUUUUGGUGGGGGAUAACUUCGGGAAACUGAAGCUAAUACCGCAUACGCCCCUUGGGGGAAAGAUUUAUCGCCGAAAGAUUGGCCCGCGUCCGAUUAGCUAGUUGGUGAGGUAAUGGCUCACCAAGGCUCCGAUCGGUAGCUGGUCUGAGAGGAUGACCAGCCACACUGGGACUGAGACACGGCCCAGACUCCUACGGGAGGCAGCAGUGGGGAAUAUUGGACAAUGGGCGCAAGCCUGAUCCAGCCAUGCCGCGUGAGUGAUGAAGGCCUUAGGGUUGUAAAGCUCUUCACCCACGACGAUGAUGACGGAGCGGA
rnacentral:rRNA from 1 species